rnacentral:rRNA from 1 species
UACGGGAGGCAGCAGUGGGGAAUUUUGGACAAUGGGGGCAACCUGAUCCAGCAAUGCCGCGUGUGUGAAGAAGGCCUUCGGGUUGUAAAGCACUUUUGUCCGGAAAGAAAACCUCCGUCCUAAUACGGUGGGGGGAUGACGGUACCGGAAGAAUAAGCACCGGCUAACUACGUGCCAGCAGCCGCGGUAAUACGUAGGGUGCAAGCGUUAAUCGGAAUUACUGGGCGUAAAGCGUGCGCAGGCGGUUCGCUAAGACCGAUGUGAAAUCCCCGGGCUUAACCUGGGAACUGCAUUGGUGACUGGCGGGCUAGAGUAUGGCAGAGGGGGGUAGAAUUCCACGUGUAGCAGUGAAAUGCGUAGAGAUGUGGAGGAAUACCGAUGGCGAAGGCAGCCCCCUGGGCCAAUACUGACGCUCAUGCACGAAAGCGUGGGGAGCAAACAGGAUUAGAUACCCUGGUAGUCCACGCCCUAAACGAUGUCAACUAGUUGUCGGGUCUUCAUUGACUUGGUAACGAAGCUAACGCGUGAAGUUGACCGCCUGGGGAGUACGGUCGCAAGAUUAAAACUCAAAGGAAUUGACGGGGACCCGCACAAGCGGUGGAUGAUGUGGAUUAAUUCGAUGCAACGCGAAAAACCUUACCUACCCUUGACAUGUACGGAACC